UACGUAGGGGGCAAGCGUUAUCCGGAUUUACUGGGUGUAAAGGGAGCGCAGACGGCAGUGCAAGUCUGAUGUGAAAGCCCGGGGCUCAACCCCGGAACUGCAUUGGAAACUGUACAGCUUGAGUGUCGGAGAGGUAAGCGGAAUUCCUAGUGUAGCGGUGAAAUGCGUAGAUAUUAGGAGGAACACCGGUGGCGAAGGCGGCUUACUGGACGAUGACUGACGUUGAGGCUCGAAAGCGUGGGGAGCAAACAGGAUUAGAUACCCGCGUAGU
rnacentral:rRNA from 1 species